rnacentral:rRNA from 1 species
UAGGGAAUUUUCCCCAAUGGACGAAAGUCUGACGGAGCAACGCCGCCUGAGUGAUGAAGGUUUUCGGAUCGUAAAACUCUGGUGUUAGGGAAGAACAAGUACUGUUCGAAUACGGGCGGUAC